GCCAGCGUGGUUUAGUGGUUUGAGAGCUGGAUGACGACUCUGGAGACCAGGGUUCGAAUCCUGGCUCAGCCA
rnacentral:tRNA from 1 species